UACAGAGGUCCCAAGCGUUGUUCGGAUUCACUGGGCGUAAAGGGUGCGUAGGCGGCGCGGUAAGUCGGGUGUGAAAUCUUGGAGCUUAACUCCGAAACUGCAUUCGAUACUGCCGUGCUUGAGGACUGGAGAGGAGACUGGAAUUUACGAUGUAGCGGUGAAAUGCGUAGAUAUCGUAAGGAAGACCAGUGGCGAAGGCGGGUCUCUGGACAGUUCC
rnacentral:rRNA from 1 species